CUUUUCUGUGAUGAUUUUCCACUGCCCCAGUCUGAUUUACAUUGACUGAUUGGUAUGAUUCUGAGAAUU
rfam:Biomphalaria glabrata isolate BB02 unplaced genomic scaffold LGTN_random_Scaffold43, whole genome shotgun sequence.